UACGAAGGGGGCUAGCGUUGCUCGGAAUCACUGGGCGUAAAGGGUGCGUAGGCGGGUCUUUAAGUCAGGGGUGAAGGUCCUGGAGCUCAACUCCAGAACUGCCUUUGAUACUGAGGAUCUUGAGUUCGGGAGAGGUGAGUGGAACUGCGAGUGUAGAGGUGAAAUUCGUAGAUAUUCGCAAGAACACCAGUGGCGAAGGCGGCUCACUGGCCCGAUACUGACGCUGAGGCACGAAAGCGUGGGGAGCAACA
rnacentral:rRNA from 1 species